rnacentral:rRNA from 1 species
UACGUAGGGUGCGAGCGUUGUCCGGAAUUAUUGGGCGUAAAGGGCUCGUAGGCGGUCUGUCGCGUCGGGAGUGAAAACUCAGGGCUUAACCCUGAGCCUGCUCCCGAUACGGGCAGACUAGAGGUAUGCAGGGGAGAACGGAAUUCCUGGUGUAGCGGUGAAAUGCGCAGAUAUCAGGAGGAACACCGGUGGCGAAGGCGGUUCUCUGGGCAUUACCUGACGCUGAGGAGCGAAAGUGUGGGGAGCGAUCCGG